UCUCGAAGCACUGGCCCGCCUCCCGGAGCUGCCGGCAGCUGAACUUACUGGGCAUCGCGGCGGCGGCUGCGGCCCAGGCAGGAGGGUCCGCGGAAAUGAAACUGAAAGUCGCCGCCGCGGAUAGAAACAGCACAAGCAGGGGGAGUGGCAGAGGGAGAAGGAAAAGUAGAUUCCUCACCGAGCAAGAAGCGGGACAAGCCGGCUCAGGGUUCGAUUAUGGGACUGUGGGAUAAUGACCUGAGCAGAAGGCAAAUGCUUACCCAACUGAGCCACUCAGGCACACCCUCCACACCCUCUCUGACACUGAGAUUAUUCUGGGUGCUGUGUUGAAGACAGCCUAGCCUGCUGGCUGGUGAGGAGGAAGCAAGAGUACUAGCAGGGACACCACAGAGAAGACUAUUGCCAUAAUCUAGGUGAGGAAUCACAGUGGCGUCUUCCAGAGUAUUUGGAAUAAAGGUGUGGUGAGAAACAGUCAAAUUCUGGGUGUAUUCUGACGGCAGAGCCUACAGGAUUUCCUAAUAGACUAUAUGUGGAUUGUGAAAGAAACAGGAAUCAAAGAUGACACUAAAUUUUCUGGCCUGAGCAACUAAAGAAUGAAGAUGUCUUAAGAGGCAAAGGACUACAGAAGCUGUAAUACGUAAAAUUUUGAUAAGUAAAGGCUUCCUUUCAGCUAUGUAAAAACAAUGUUCACUGCUGUUAAAAGUUAAAGGGUGCCCUGCCCCAAAAUCUGCCAUGGUCUUGGUGUUGCGUAUAUAUCUCUUUUAAGGAGGAAAAUGUCAUUAAAAUGUUAGACUAUAUAAUUAACUUCCCUGCUUCCAACUCCAUGCUUAAAGUGUGAAAAAAUUGUAACUUGAUUUCCCACGUUCCUGACCUACCUGAAAAAUGUUUCUAG